GAUGAACGCUGGCGGCGUGCCUAAUACAUGCAAGUCGAGCGAACAGACGAGGAGCUUGCUUCUCUGACGUUAGCGGCGGACGGGUGAGUAACACGUGGAUAACCUACCUAUAAGACUGGGAUAACUUCGGGAAACCGGAGCUAAUACCGGAUAAUAUUUUGAACCGCAUGGUUCAAAAGUGAAAGACGGUCUUGCUGUCACUUAUAGAUGGAUCCGCGCUGCAUUAGCUAGUUGGUAAGGUAACGGCUUACCAAGGCGACGAUGCAUAGCCGACCUGAGAGGGUGAUCGGCCACACUGGAACUGAGACACGGUCCAGACUCCUACGGGAGGCAGCAGUAGGGAAUCUUCCGCAAUGGGCGAAAGCCUGACGGAGCAACGCCGCGUGAGUGAUGAAGGUCUUCGGAUCGUAAAACUCUGUUAUUAGGGAAGAACAAAUGUGUAAGUAACUGUGCACAUCUUGACGGUACCUAAUCAGAAAGCCACGGCUAACUACGUG
rnacentral:rRNA from 1 species